GAAUUUUGGACAAUGGGCGAAACCCUGACCCAGCAAUGCCGCGUGCGGGAUGAAGGCCUUCGGGUUGUAAACUGCUUUUGUACGGAACGAAAAGCUUUGGGUUAAUACCCUGGAGUCAUGACGGUACCGUAAGAAUAAGCACCGGCUACCUACGUGCCAGCAGCCGCGGUAAUACUUAGGGGGCAAGCGUAAAUCGGAAUUACUGGGCUUAAAGCGUGCGCAGGCGGUUUUUAAAGACAGAGGUGAAACCCCCGGGCUCAACCGGGGAACUGCCUUGGGGACGGCAAGGCUAGAGUACGGCAGAGGGGGUGGAAUUCCGCGUGUAGCAGUGAAAUGCGUAGAUAUGCGGAGGAACACCGAUGGCGAAGGCAACCCCCUGGGCCUGUACUGACGCUCAUGCACGAAAGCGUGGGGAGCAAACA
rnacentral:rRNA from 1 species